ACCUGUCGUUCCGGACCUGGCUCUGGCUGAACCCCGGUGAACUUCCCCUGCAUCCCCUUCCCUGCCGGCGAGCUUGCAGCCGUGAACUUCCCGUGCCCGACCCGAGCAUCUCCGAGAGGUGUGAUCCAAGCCGUGGCGGUAAGGCUGCAGCCAGAGGAAGGAGAUUGCCGGCCCGCCCCUGGCUCCUGCUCAGCCUCCCUAAUCAACGGAGGAAUGUCUCUGGACGCGAGUGCUCCUGGAUAAGCUGCUCUGUGCACCGCUUGGCUUCGUGAGCGCUUCCUUCGUGAGCCAUCUGUGGGGGUCACGCCGGGCAAAGCACGCCGCGUGCCCCGACGGAUCGGCGUGUCUUGGCGCAGUGGGGCCAGCAGCGGUCCUGUGGCCCGGCAGGAGGAUGCACAGGGUGGCUCAGUCCUGCCUUGCCAUGGGGCCCUUGUGCAUUGUGUGAGAGCAGUAACCCUCAGUGGGGGUGCCGUGGGCCAUGCCCAGCCUGCAGAAACGAGUAUGUGGCAACGAGGACUGGGAGCAAAGGGGACGUCGUGCAGAAAGCUCUUCUUGAUUUGGUCUAUCACCACCAUUGUGAGAUACACUGGAAUAAUUGCCCAUCUGACGACAGGAAAACAUGCAAGCCCUUGGAAGUGGAACUUGCUUUAUACAUAUGAGAAUGGAGCAAGCAAUGCUUCCAAUAAAAGAAUUGUGAAACUAUUCCCAUCGGUGGCCUGUCCUCUACCCACAAUGGUGAUGGAGAAGACUGUUGGAUUUCCAUCAGGAGAACAAUUUGAGUGUGGACUCUACUGCCACAAAUUUAAGAAAGCUCUCCAGUUGCUGCUUGCCAAAGAAACAGGUGAUUUUUUUUUCUUUUUUUUUUUUUUUGAGAUAUUGACCAGUAAACAUGGGAAUCAACUUCAUCUGAAAUGCUUGUGUCUUAAUAUUUGUGUGACUUUCCUUCCUGCUCUAUGACUUGUUGAUUAUUUUUGAGUGCUCUAGGGCUUAAAGCAUAGUCUAUGACUGUACUAGUAUUUGUAACCUGCUGAUGUGCUCCAAGAAAAUGGGUGAGACCCAUUUUGGUGGCAGGUCUGUCAUAGGGAAGGUGUUGAACGUGGAUGUUGAGGUGCCGUGCUGUUGAUCAAACCAUUCUUAGGGAUGAAUCAACAGUGCUGUGACUUAAAGACGGAUGUAUGUCCAGGGUGAAGACCACAUUAUCAUUUAAGAAAACACUUUUCAAGUGAACCAGAAAAGCAGUGAGCAAAUGCUGGGUGAUGUGUUCAAUCCAUCCUGGAAGCAUAAUGCCAUUCCUGGACAUGGUUCUUGGUCAUGUAAAGCCAACACUUGGGCAUGCAAUUGCAUUUCUGAGAAAGAAGACAUUUUUUCCAUUAUCUUCCGAUCCAAAUGUACUCAUCUGACAAGUGAAAUUAAGUUUUAUUUUUCUGUUCCUGCUCCCAUGCUUGUGUUUGAGGCUUCCAGCCCUCAGCUACAUUUUUGCAGGCAUCUUUAAUGAGGUUGUGGAGAUGUCACUGGUAUGGCCAUGGCUUGGGUGGCAUGGAGCUCUGGAAGAACGUGAGCAGAAAGGGCUGUUUCUGCAAAGAAGGGAAAACAGCCUGGACAUAGGACAGCUGUGGUUCUGGGGCUGGAAGGCUGCAUGCAGAGCCAGAGGCAAGGCCUGACCUCUGCGUGCUGAGAUGAAAGCAAAUGUUGGUGUUUUGUGUUUGUCCCCAUCUAUGAGCAUGUGUAUAGUCUCAUGCCAUGGCUCAGCUGACAUGUGACAUCUUGCUCUGCUGUUUGAAGGUCUGAGUCUUCAAAUAUUAAAAAAGAAGAUAAAUGAAUAAAAGAAAACAAAAACAAGCA
rnacentral:lncRNA from 1 species